rnacentral:rRNA from 1 species
UACGGAGGGGGCUAGCGUUGUUCGGAAUUACUGGGCGUAAAGCGCACGUAGGCGGCUUUGUAAGUUAGAGGUGAAAGCCCAGGGCUCAACCCUGGAAUUGCCUUUAAGACUGCAUCGCUUGAACAUCGGAGAGGUAAGUGGAAUUCCGAGUGUAGAGGUGAAAUUCGUAGAUAUCAGGAGGAACACCGGUGGCGAAGGCGGGUCUCUGGGCAGUAACUGACGCUGAGGAGCGAAAGCGUGGGGAGCGAACAGG